rnacentral:rRNA from 1 species
CAAUAGCGUAUAUUAAAGUUGUUGCAGUUAGAACGCUCGUAGUCGGAUUUCGGGGCGGGCCGACCGGUCUGCCGAUGGGUAUGCACUGGUCGGCGCGUCCUUCCUUCCGGAGACCGUCCCUACUCUUAACUGAGCGGGGCCGGGAGACGGGACUUUUACUUUGAAAAAAUCAGAGUGUUUCAAGCAGGCAGCUCGCUCUUGCAUGGAUUAGCAUGGGAUAAUGAAAUAGGACUUUGGUGCUAUUUUGUUGGUUUCGAACACCGAAGUAAUGAUGAGAAGGGACAGUCAGGGGCACUCGUAUUCCGCCGAGAGAGGUGAAAUUCUCAGACCAGCGGAAGACGAACCACUGCGAAAGCAUUUGCCAGGGAUGUUUUCACUGA